rnacentral:ncRNA from 1 species
CAUCGCGAGAGGGAAUCAGAAGGAAGCCGGAUUGCGGAGGUUGAAAGGUCCGCCGCAGGGCAAACUCUCAGACCAACGGACAGAAACCACAUACAAGGCUGGCUUGGGGCGGACGACCCUGCGCAACAAGGGAAAGUCCAAUGCUACCCGAACCCCAUACAGUAGAUGUGGUGGUCAUGAGAGGAAGGUUGU